GCCGGGCUAGCUCAAUCGGUAGAGCGUGCGGCUCUUAAUUCCACGCACAAUAUGUGCUUGUGGUCACCGCAAGGCUGCGGGUUCGACCCCCGCGUUCGGCU
rnacentral:tRNA from 1 species